UGCCUGCCCGGUGACUUAGUUAAACGGCCGCGGUAUUUUGACCGUGCAAAGGUAGCAUAAUCAUUUGCCUUUUAAAUGGGGGCUGGUAUGAAUGGCAAGACGGGAAUCUAGCUGUCUCUCUCUUAUUUCUUGAAAUUAAUGUCUUCGUGAAGAAGCGGAGAUUUAGUCGUAGGACGAGAAGACCCUAUCGAGCUUUAGUAAUAAGAAUGGAACUGGUAUUAAGUAUUUGUUUAUGCUAAUAAAGUUGAGAACAGGCUUGGAAUUUACGUUUAAAUACUUUAAGUUGUGUCUUUUAUACUUAGGUUGGGGCAACCGCGGAGAAUAAAAAUCCUCCGCUAUAUUAUUAAAUAAAGGAUGUCUUUUUAAAUAUAACUUUUUAUUUAGUAGUGAUCCACUUUAAAAGUGAUUAAAAGAAAAAGUUACCGUAGGGAUAACAGCGUAAUCCUUUUGGAGAGUUCAUAUUGGUAAAAGGGUUUGCGACCUCGAUGUUGGAUCGGGAUUUCCUGGAGAUGCAGCAGUUUCC
rnacentral:rRNA from 1 species